GCUACCAUUAAGGGCUCAGCUGCUAACUGAAAGGUCGGUGGUUCGAACCCACCUGGUGGCU
rnacentral:tRNA from 1 species